GACGAACGCUGGCGGCGUGCUUAACACAUGCAAGUCGAACGGAAAGGCCCCGUUGGGGGUGCUCGCGUGGCGAACGGGUGAGUAACACGUGAGUAACCAGCCUUUGCCUUCGUGUGAACUUCCGGCAGCUGGGUCUAAUACCGGCUAGGUAUCAUUUCCGCAUGGAGGGGGUGGGUAAGAUUGGGGGGUUUGGGAUGGACUCGCGGCUUAUCAGCUUGUUGGUGGGGUAGUGGGUUACCAAGGCUUUGACGGGUAGCCGGCCGGCGUGGGCGACCGGCCACAAUGGGACUGGGGUACGGCCCAGACUCCUACGGGGGGCAAGAGGGGGGAAUAUUGCACAAUGGGCGGGAGCCUGAUGGAGCAACGCCGCGUGCGGGAAUACGGGCUUCGGGUUGUAAACCGCUUUCAGCAGGGGCGAAGCUUGUGGUGACGGUACCUGCAGAAGAAGCACCGGCUAACUACGUG
rnacentral:rRNA from 1 species